rfam:Sporosarcina psychrophila strain DSM 6497, complete genome.
CGCGGGGUGGAGAAGUGGUAUCUCGUCGGGCUCAUAACCCGAAGGUCGCAGGUUCAAAUCCUGCCCCCGCAA